rnacentral:rRNA from 1 species
GACGAACGCUGGCGGCGUGCUUAACACAUGCAAGUCGAACGGAAAGGCCCCUUUUGGGGUACUCGAGUGGCGAACGGGUGAGUAACACGUGAGUAACCUGCCCUUGACUUCGGGAUAACUUCAGGAAACUGGGGCUAAUACCGGAUAGGAAUCCUUUCUGCAUGGUGGGGGUUGGAAAGCUUCGGGGGGUUGGGAUGGACUCGCGGCUUAUCAGCUUGUUGGUGGGGGAGUGGCUUACCAAGGCUUUGACGGGUAGGCGGCCUGGGAGGGCGAACGGCCACAUUGGGACUGGGGAACGGCCCCGAAUCCUACGGGGGGCAGCAGGGGGGAAUAUUGCACAAUGGGCGGAAGCCUGAUGCAGCAAAGCCGCGUGCGGGAUGACGGCCUUCGGGUUGUAAACCGCUUUCAGCAGGGGCGAAGCUUGUGGUGACGGUACCUGCAGAAGAAGCACCGGCUAACUACGUG